rnacentral:rRNA from 1 species
GAUGAACGCUGGCGGCGUGCCUAAUACAUGCAAGUCGAGCGAAUGGAUUAAGAGCUUGCUCUUAUGAAGUUAGCGGCGGACGGGUGAGUAACACGUGGGUAACCUGCCCAUAAGACUGGGAUAACUCCGGGAAGCCGGGGCUAAUACCGGAUAACAUUUUGAACCGCAUGGUUCGAAAUUGAAAGGCGGCUUCGGCUGUCACUUAUGGAUGGACCCGCGUCGCAUUAGCUAGUUGGUGAGGUAACGGCUCACCAAGGCAACGAUGCGUAGCCGACCUGGGAGGGUGAACGGCCACACUGGGACGGAGACACGGCCCAGACUCCUACGGGAGGCAGCAGUAGGGAAUCUUCCGCAAUGGACGAAAGUCUGACGGAGCAACGCCGCGUGAGUGAUGAGGGCUUUCGGGUCGUAAAACUCUGUUGUUAGGGAAGAACAAGUGCUAGUUGAAUAAGCUGGCACCUUGACGGUACCUAACCAGAAAGCCACGGCUAACUACGUGCCAGCCGCCGCAGUAA